CACAAAUCCCAGGAAACAAUCACGUCCCAGAAAACCAAAUCGCAGGCUACAGGAAAGGGAAAUUACACCAUUAUGUCAGGGCUCCAGGGAAGGAAACCGCCCAUCCAUUUCAGGUAUCUCCAUCAACCAAAUCGCAGCACUAUAAUUCAUGGCUAUCGCAGCACUAUAAUUCAUGGCUACAGAAAAGGAAAAUUACACCGUUAUGGCAGGGCUACAUAGAAGGAAACCGCCCGGCCAUUUCAGGGAUCUCCAUCAUUGAGGAUCAACAAUACCGGUAUAUACAUAGUACCUUGAACCAUUGUUAUGCCAGAUAACUCCUGGGAUCAUAACCACACCUCUUGCUGUUCGAAGAAUUCCCCAUCAAAGAAACUGCGGAUCAACAGAAAAAGUAAUCAUGGUUUGAACAAAUAGUUUCAUAUCUUCACUGAACAUUGCUCUUCAAGACGCAAUAGAAGGAUGGAACGAUGACAUUUUCUUAUGGCGCCGCAUCACAUUAUCUGGGCUGCCUACAAAUCAUGACAGCCACAUGUCAGGAUUCUUGGUGCUCAAAUUUAUGCGGUGGUGGGAUGGUCAAGAAGUUGUCCGAGCAAAGGGCACGGUUGGUUACGCCCUGUGGAACAGAGCGGUGGUACACAUUCUUUCAUACAAGGAUAACGAAAGUGGAGCCAACAUCCCGCAAUUUGUUACAAAUUUGGUCAAACUACUAGGAUCAGAAUUUUUUGUUUGAAAAGGUUGCCGGUUUGGCUAUUUUGAACAAUACCAGUUUAUUGUUUUUUAUUGUGUACUCCUAUAAAAGAAACUAGCGGAUCUGAUUUGAAUGUUGGAUGCUAUAUUUACUAUCCCUAUAUUUUUA